ensembl:lncRNA novel transcript
GGAAGACACCAGAGCUGUCCCUCUCUCGGCUUGCACUAAGGAGGAGGUCACGUGAGCACACAGUGAGAAGGCGGAGGACCAUCUGCAAGCAGGAAGAGAGCCCUCGCUAGAACCCCCCACGGUGGCAUCUGAUAGUGGACUUCUAGCUUCCAGAACUGAACUCAUAAAUGUCACAUCAGGCUGCCUCUUGGUGAAUUUUUAAUCAACGGGGAGAAUUUCAGCUACAAAUAGACCAAGAAUCAAGAGGCCCACUAUUGAUCGGUCAAAGUGGCACUUAUGAACCUGAGGUUGAAGCAGUUUGGAUAAAAGGAUUCUGGGCUUUCGAUGGCCCCAGAGACAUCUUUUUCCAUCAAGUCCAGGCUUGCUGAUCGGUACAGCUGAGAACAUGUUGAAUUUGAUGUGCCUGUGGAUAUUUGAGUCUGGAACAUUGAAGACAAGUUUGGUCUGGAGAUGUAGACUGGGGAUAUCUCAGCACACAGAUGAUAACUGAAAUGAUGGAGCGGAUGAUAUAAACUGGAGAGAGUCUGGUGUGGGAAGAGUCUUCCCUGAGGUGGCCGAAAGAUGUAAUUCUUACUCCAAAGACUGAAAUAGAGACAAGAGAAGCUGAAGUUACAGGGUUUUGUCAUUGGGAAGACAGUAGAGUGUGUCAUAUCCCAAGAGUGAAGCAAGGACAAACCAAAGAACAACUGGGAAGAUCUGGGAGAAAAAGGGAGAGGAGAGCCUGACGUUUCAAGAACUCAAGGUUCAGUACUAGGUCUUAGAGGAAGACUUCAUUUUAGCUUUGAUGCUCUCCGCUAGGCACAGAGAAACUUAAGCAGAAUGACAAGACCUGCUGUUUGAGUAACUCACGUUCUGACCAGAGAGACAGACAUGUCAGCAAGAGGUUACAAUACAGUGUGCUCAGAUUCUCCGGGACUUGGAGCACUUGUUCCAGAAAGGAAGGCCAGGGAAGUCUUCCAGGAGUAGAUGGCGCCUCUGCUGACCUGAAGGGUGAGGAAAAAGUGUCCAGUUGCAGAAGGUGCAACUGCCUAUAGAACAGCUGCCGCGGCCCACUGAAAGCUUCAAGCCGAGACCUGAGGUGCAUGAACCCUCCUUCUGAUAAGCUUCAGAGCAGAAAUGAUGCAACUGAGUCACAGAGAAGUUAAGUAAUCUGCCUGCCGACACUCGGGUCGAUGCCGCCUCAUUCCAUCACUCGGGCAAUGGAGCCAAAGGCCACGUUCACAACCACUAGGCUGUCCCAGCCCCUUGAUGGUGGUUUAGAGAUUUUUAGCAUUCCUCAGCCACUUGGAAAUAGCAAGAUAGUACAUAAAGAUCAACCACGUGAGCUUUAAUUCAAGAUGGAAAAUGAGAAUCCACUGGAAUCAUGAAGGACAUCCCAGAUCCCAGGAAGGAGAACACUGGCAAACAGCGCCCGAAAUAAAAGUGACUGGCUGAUAAAA